CAACCUCAACUCAUAUGGGACUACCCCCUGAAUUUAAGCAUAUUAAUUAGGGGAGGAAAAGAAACUAACAAGGAUUUUCUUAGUAGCGGCGAGCGAAAAGAAAACAGUUCAGCACUAAGUCACUUUGUCUAUAUGGCAAAUGUGAGAUGCAGUGUAUGGAGCGUCAAUAUUCUAGUAUGAGAAAUUAAUGAUUUAAGUCCUUCUUAAAUGAGGCCAUUUACCCAUAGAGGGUGCCAGGCCCGUAUAACGUUAAUGAUUACUAGAUGAUGUUUCCAAAGAGUCGUGUUGCUUGAUAGUGCAGCACUAAGUGGGUGGUAAACUCCAUCUAAAACUAAAUAUAACCAUGAGACCGAUAGUAAACAAGUACCGUGAGGGAAAGUUGAAAAGAACUCUGAAUAGAGAGUUAAACAGUACGUGAAACUGCUUAGAGGUUAAGCCCGAUGAACCUGAAUAUCCGUUAUGGAAAAUUCAUCAUUAAAAUUGUAAUAUUUAAAUAAUAUUAUUAAGAAUAAUGUGCAUUUUUUCCAUAUAAGGACAUUGUAAUCUAUUAGCAUAUCCCAAAUUUAUCAUAAAAUAUAACUUAUAGUUUAUUCCAAUUAAAUUGCUUGCAUUUUAACACAGAAUAAAUGUUAUUAAUUUGAUAAAGUGCUGAUAGAUUUAUAUUAUUACAGAGCGUUAAUUUUUCGGAAUUAUAAUCCACCACAGUGGCG
rnacentral:ncRNA from 1 species